rnacentral:rRNA from 1 species
CACGCCCUAAACGAUGAGUGCUGGGUGUCCGGCUUUAGCUGGGUGCCGAAGCUAACGCGAUAAGCACUCCACCUGGGAAGUACGGNACGCGAAGAACCUUACCAGGUCUUGACAUGUAGGGAAGUCUGGUGAAAGCCGGAUGUGCCCGCAAGGGAGCCCUAACACAGGUGC